rnacentral:rRNA from 1 species
CCUACGGGAGGCAGCAGUGGGGAAUAUUGCACAAUGGGGGAAACCCUGAUGCAGCGACGCCGCGUGAGUGAAGAAGUACUUCGUUAUGUAAAGCUCUAUCAGCAGGGAAGAAAAUGACGGUACCUGAGUAAGAAGCCCCGGCUAACUACGUGCCAGCAGCCGCGGUCAUACGUAGGGGGGAAGCGUUAUCCCGGAUUACUGGGUGUAAAGGGAGCCUAGGCGGGAGUGCAAGUCUGGAGGGAAAGGCGGGGGGCCAACCCCCGGACUGCCCUGGAAACUGGGCGGCUGGAGUGCAGGAGAGGUAAGUGGAAUUCCUAGUGUAGCGGUGAAAUGCGUAGAUAUUAGGAGGAACACCAGUGGCGAAGGCGGCUUACUGGACUGUAACUGACGCUGAGGCUCGAAAGCGUGGGGAGCAAACAGGAUUAGAUACCCUGGUAGUC